ensembl:snRNA U2 U2 spliceosomal RNA
AUCGCUUCUCAGCCUUUUGGCUAAGAUCAAGUGUAGUAUUUAUACAGAGACUGACAUCUUCAGGAUAGUGACAGUAUCUUUUUCAUUCUAAUUAUCUAGCAAAAUACUC